rnacentral:rRNA from 1 species
UACGUAGGGCGCAAGCGUUGUCCGGAAUUAUUGGGCGUAAAGAGCUCGUAGGCGGUUUGUCGCGUCUGUCGUGAAAGCCCACGGCUUAACCGUGGGUCUGCGGUGGAUACGGGCAGACUAGAGGCAGGUAGGGGAGAAUGGAAUUCCCGGUGUAGCGGUGAAAUGCGCAGAUAUCGGGAAGAACACCCGUGGCGAAGGCGGUUCUCUGGGACGGUACUGACUCUGAGACGCGAAAGCGUGGGGAGCGAACAGG